rnacentral:rRNA from 1 species
CAGCCGCCGCGGUAAUACCGGCGGCCCGAGUGGCGGUCACUAUUAUUGGGCUUAAAGCGUCCGUAGCCGGGUUGGGAAGUCCUCCGGGAAAUCUGGCCGCUUAACGGUCAGAAUGCCGGAGGAUACUCCCAGCCUAGGGAGCGGGAGAGGCCGAGGGGAUUCCCGGAGUAGGGGGGAAAUCCUAUAAUCCCGGGAGGACCACCUGUGGCGAAGGCGCUCGGCUGGAACGCGUCCGACGGUGAGGGCCGAAGGCCAGGGGAGCAAACCGGAUUAGAUACCCGGGUAGUCCUGGCUGUAAACGAUGCGGACUUUGUGUCGGACAAGCUAUGAGCUUGUCCGGUGCCGGAGGGAAACCGUUAAGUCCGCCGCCUGGGGAGUACGGCCGCAAGGCUGAAACUUAAAGGAAUUGGCGGG